rnacentral:rRNA from 1 species
UACGAAGGGGGCUAGCGUUGUUCGGAAUCACUGGGCGUAAAGGGCGCGUAGGCGGCCGAUCAAGUCGGGGGUGAAAGCCUGUGGCUCAACCACAGAAUUGCCUUCGAUACUGUUUGGCUUGAGACCGGAAGAGGUCGGCGGAACUGCGAGUGUAGAGGUGAAAUUCGUAGAUAUUCGCAAGAACACCAGUGGCGAAGGCGGCCGACUGGUCCGGUUCUGACGCUGAGGCGCGAAAGCGUGGGGAGCAAACAGG